GUGAGUCAUCGAAUCUUUGAACGCACAUUGCGCCCGCCAGUAUUCUGGCGGGCAUGCCUGUUCGAGCGUCAUUUCAACCAUCAAGCCCCUGCGCUUGUGUUGGAGCCCUGCGGCCGCCGCAGGCUCCCAAACCCAGUGGCGGGCUCGUCGUCGUACCGAGUGCAGUAGACCUACCACGCUCAGGGCACGCGACGGGUGACCGGCCGUAAAACCCCCCCCCUUUCUCAAGGUUGACCUCGGAUCAGGUAGGAAUACCCGCUGAACUUAAGCAUAUCAAUAAGCGGAGGA
rnacentral:misc_RNA from 1 species